AGAGAGAGAGAGAGAGAGAGAGGAGUCGCCACCGACUGAAAUGAAGCUUCGGCGACGGCGAUAUGCUUUGGUACUCCUAUCUCGGGUUCUAAACUUCACAGAUCAAACAUGUAUGUCCGGAGAUAAGUUAUUUCCUCAAACUCUCAGCGAACUCCCUUUCCACCGUAGACCAAAAUCCAUCUCCGGCGAUGGUUUCUUCAGCGACGGUGACCGCAUGCAUGUCGCAGGUAAAGAAAGAUUUAUGUAGUUACUUUUUUUUUUGGAGUCUAACAGUUUUACUCGUUUUCAGGUGGGUAACGUGGGUUCUCUGCUUCGAUCCACCACCGGUUCGACUUCGAGUUACAAAGCGACCUACGAGGGUAUGAUUCGCUUCCCUUCUUCCUCGUUCUACAUGCAUGCAAAUAAAAUGACAGAGUCUUAGUAUGAUGAUUAUAGAUGAUAUACGUAGACUGUUGUUUGAUGUUUAGUUUCAAUUGCCUCUGUCUCGGUUUGCUUGAUCUCUAAUUGUUGUUUGAAAUUGUGAAAUUUCGAAGUUAAGACAUGACUUUGGUAUUGAAAUUGUGAUAUUACAUAUCUGAUGAGUCUUUUGUCUUUCUUUGUUGUAUGUGACGAGGUGAUGGAGUGAUUGUGAACAAAGACUCAACUGGUUCAUCUUCUUUUCCUCUGCACUGAACAUAUGAAGCGUCAUGGUCUCCUGGAGCAGCAUGCAGCGUCAAGAAGUGUCAUGGAGCAGCCUGUAGCGUCCUGGAGCAGCAUGCAACGCUAAGAAUCGCUUGGUGCACUUUUUGGCUCUCAGCCCGCGGGACGACCUGUAAAGGACUGUGCAUUUCGGUGCGGUGGGAUUGGACCGAGCUUUAGGAGACCGCAGCCCGGGCGGGCCUGACCCGCCGUAACCCCGCAAGAAAGAGAGUCCGCUGCGGUACGGGCCGGGACGGGAUGGCACAACCCGUUUGACAACACUAAUCAGAACCUAAGACCCGGAUAGCCGUUCUACUAAUUACAUGUUCCCCAUUAAAAAACGCCUUGUUCAUGUAUUCACUGACACAACCCCAAUGUUAAACCUUUCCAUAAUCAAGUGGAAUCUCUUAUUUAUCUUCAAGAUAAAA